AGAAGGGCUUCCGGAACUAAUUUCGGGGGCCUUUUUCUUUGC
rnacentral:antisense_RNA from 1 species